rnacentral:rRNA from 1 species
CUACGGAGGGUGCAAGCGUUACUCGGAAUCACUGGGCGUAAAGCGCGCGCAGGCGGCUAUUUAAGUUGGAUGUGAAAGCCUAUGGCUCAACCAUAGAACUGCAUCCAAAACUAUUUAGCUAGAGUGUGGGAGAGGAAGAUGGAAUUAGUUGUGUAGGGGUAAAAUCCGUAGAGAUAACUAGGAAUACCAAAAGCGAAGGCAAUCUUCUGGAACACUACUGACGCUGAGGCGCGAAAGCGUGGGGAGCAGACAGGAUUAGAAACCCUAGUAGUCC